GGGCUGUAGCUCAGUUGGGAGAGCGCUACAUUCGCAUUGUAGAGGUCGAGGGUUCGACUCCCUUCAGCUCC
rnacentral:tRNA from 1 species